UUGGCAUGGAGCAGCUGAGCCUGUUGGACAGGUAAGAGUGCCACCCCUGUAAAGUGAUCCGGGCUCGACACACCCGAAAGGUGCAAACCACCCCCAACUCUAGAAGCUGUUGCCAACCGGACACGGCCGCUGUCUCGGCUCCCCCCCACUCUCGGACAUUUGCUGCGGGUCCCAGCGUUGGAACCCUUACAUGAAAUUCAGCCAAACUUUUGACCAUUUAGCUUUAGGUAUAUUGUUGUCAUAUCAACUUGAAGCUCCAGCUACAAACUAUGACACAGAUCAAUGAAGACUGCUUUUAGAAGUCUAAAGCUUUGCAAAUGGUACUCGUCAUUUUCUGCAAAUUAAUCCAUAGUUUUGAAAGAUGCAUUCCCUCACCAGGCUAUGAUCUGUAACCUGCUAGUCAAUAUGCCAUGUGCGAGCAGACCAGGUGCAGAAACAGGCUCAUUGUGAGCCCGUAAAUACUAUGAUAAACCACUGAUUAUUGGAUGGCAAGGAUAGUUGAUGGCUCCCAGUAAAUGUAAUUGAUGUAAACUAAAGUGUGUUGUGUGCAUUUACUUUAAAAGUGUCAUGAUUCUGACCCGGCUUCCCGUAUGACCCAUUUAAAGACUGUUUUAGUCCUUUCUGUUUAUGCACCUCGUAAGAAGAUAUCAGCGGAUUCCUAGGCUUAAAACAAGAUGUAAAUGACCUUGUUUCAAAUCGAAUAUGAAUGUCGGGGCUUGGGGACAUUUGGAUGACAUGAACAAACAGUAUGGAGGCAUGUUAUUGUUCUCUGUUGUUUUAUUACUUCUGAACACUCUGUAUGCAAUACCAGAUAAGCAUUGGUGAAUGUUACAAUCUUUGUAAAAACUGCUAAAGUAAGUUUUUUGAAGAAAUGUCUAAUAAAACGCUUGCUGAAUGAG